rnacentral:rRNA from 1 species
GACAGAGGUGCCGAGCGUUAGGCGGAAUCACUGGGCUUAAAGCGUGUGUAGGCGGCCCGUUAAGUGUCUUGUGAAAUCCCCCGGCUCAACCGGGGAACGGCUGGGCAUACUGGCAGGCUUGGGUCGCUCAGGGGCAGACGGAACAGGCGGUGGAGCGGUGAAAUGCGUAGAUAUCGCCUGGAACGCCGAAGGUGAAAACAGUCUGCUGGGGGCGCACCGACGCUGAGACACGAAAGCCAGGGGAGCAAACGGG